AAAAAUUCAGAUGGGGGUGGCAGAGCUUGUGUUCAGAAGAUGGAGGGAAUAUUGUGAGGAGCUGAUGAAUGAAGAAAUGAGAGAGAGGAAAAGGCUGGAUGAUGUGGAGAGAGUAAAUCAAGAAGUGCAAGAGAUUAGUAAGGAUGAAGUGAGGGCAGCUAUGAAGAGUAUGAAGAGUGGAAAGGCAGUUGUUCCAAAUUACAUUCUGGUGGAGGCAUGGAAGUGUCUAGGAGAAAUGGCAGUUGAGUUUUUAACCAGAUUGUUUAAUAAAAUCUUGGAAAGUGAGAGGACACCUGAGGAGUGGAGACGAUGUGUGCUGCUUCCUAUUUUUAAUAACAAGGGUGAUGUGUCGAGAUGCAGUAACUACAGUGGCAUACAGUUGUUCUGCAUGAAGUUAUCGGAAAGAGUAGUAGAAGCUAGGCUUAAAAAAUAGGUG